GACGAACGCUGGCGGCGUGCCUAAUACAUGCAAGUUGAGCGCGGAAUUUUGGUACUGUUACCAACUGGAUGAGCAGCGAACGGUUGAGUAACGCGUGGUGGAUCUGCCUUUGAGCGGGGGACAACAUUUGGAAACUAAUGCUAAUACCGCAUAAAAACUUUAAACACAAGUUUUAAGUUUGAAAGAGGCAAUUGCAUCACUCAAAUAUGAUCCCGCGUUGUCUUAGCUAGUUGGUGAGGUAAAGGCGCACCAAGGAGUUGAUACGUAGCCGACCGGAGAGGGCGAGCGGCCAAAUGGGGACGGCGACACGGCCACAAAUACUACGGGAGGAAGCAGACGGGAAUCAUCGGCUAUGGAUGAAAGUCUGACCGCGCAAGGCUGAGGGAGUGACGCAGGUUGUCGGAUCAUAAAACUCUGUUCGUAGAGAAGAAAGUCGGUGAGAGUGGAAAGCUCAUCAAGUGACGGUAACUAGACAGAAAGGGACGGCUAACUACGUG
rnacentral:rRNA from 1 species